rnacentral:lncRNA from 1 species
AAGAAGUCAAAUUGUCCCUCUUUGCAGAUGACAUGAUUGUAUAUCUAGAAAACCCCAUUGUCUCAGCCCAAAAUCUCCUUAAGCUGAUAAGUAACCUCAGCAAAGUCUCAGGAUACAAAAUCAGUGUACAAAAAUCACAAGCAUUCUUAUACACCAAUAACAGACAAACAGAGAGCCAAAUCAUGAGUGAACUCCCAUAUGCAAUUGCUUCAAAGAGAAUAAAAUACUUAGGAAUCCAAUUUACAAGGGACGUGAAGGACCUCUUCAAGGAGAACUACAAACCACUGCUCAAUGAAAUAAAAGAGGAU